rnacentral:rRNA from 1 species
UACGUAGGGUGCAAGCGUUAAUCGGAAUUACUGGGCGUAAAGCGUGCGCAGGCGGUUGUGCAAGACAGAUGUGAAAUCCCCGGGCUUAACCUGGGAAUUGCAUUUGUGACUGCACGGCUAGAGUGUGUCAGAGGGGGGUAGAAUUCCACGUGUAGCAGUGAAAUGCGUAGAUAUGUGGAGGAACACCGGUGGCGAAGGCGGGUCUCUGGGCAAUUCCUGACGCUGAGGCGCGAAAGCGUGGGGAGCAAACGGG